rnacentral:tRNA from 1 species
GCCUCGAUAGUCUAAAGGCUUAAGACGCUCACACGAUAUGCAAGAGAUCCGGGUUCGACUCCCGGCCGAGGUA